UAUGGGCAUAUGAGACUGUCCUCUUCUUGGGUACCCGAUUUGCGAAGAGAGUGGAGACACGCUACUCUCGACUGCAUCAUUGGCGAGUAUCUCGAGUAGAAGAUUGUCUAUUUGCUAGACAAUUAUCAGCUCUCUUUGACGACCUCAGGAGCGCGGUCUAAUUGAUCGAAAAUCAUUUUUGCCCCAGAUAUCAUCACCUCUGCCAAUGAGAUCUCCUUCUUUAUCAUUUAGACACCUCCCCCAUGGAUCUCCUGCACACAGUCAGGGUUGUUAUUUCGAUAAUCUAUAUGUACGUCUAACUGAUUUUAUUAGAGAGGAGAUGUGCACGCAGCACGCUACAAAGUGAGUUGGAGAGGAAGUAGGGGCUCUUUGACAAUAGUAAGAGGCGAGGUAGAAGAUUUAUGCCAUGAUGUUGGAGUGCUACGAGGCCAUUUAGUAGACAUUCAAGAAGAGAUUGCUGCGCUAUAAGACGAUAUAGUAGGCAGACGAGAGGGAGACAGAUUGCAUGAUAGAGAAGGUGACAGAGAGUGUAAUAUAGAGGAUGGUAGAGAAAGGGGUCACACUUAGGAUCAUUUUAUUAUCCGUGACACGGGAUAGGGUCUCCUUGAUGGUGACGUAAGAGGUGGCAGAGGAUGAGAGAAUAGAGGGUUGGCCCUGAUGGCAGAUAAAGAGAGGAUGAUUGUCAUGACAAAGGAUUAAAAGCAUGCUAUUGAUGUGCCAGAGUAGGUGGCCUACAAGAGGUCAAGAUUACAGUCAUAGUACGCCACUUCUCCCUUUAUGGCUGAGGCGAAGAGGAGGACGUUCAUAGACGGGACAUUCCCCAAUCUUUUUUUAGAGGUAAACCCUGCCAAGUGGAAAGCUUUUGAAAUAGAGUGGAGAAGAAUUAUGCCUAGUUAACUACACGAUAGCUCAAAAGACGAUACCGGAUGCUUAUAAGUGAUUUUAGGAUAUCACGACUUCGACAGCUUAGCUCGUCAAGAUCACAUCAACCUGACUUUGGACCUAUUGUGCAAUCAGGCUCGAAGAUAUCUAAGAUCAUUUGACGUUCCAGGCCGAGUCAUUUUGAGCAUCGAGUCCCUACAUGCCAUUAACAUUGUGCAUCAAUCGCUUCAACUUAUGGGGAAUGAGUACAGGUUGCCUAAAUAUAUGCUCGGGUGGAUCACAAGGAUGAGAUCGAGUAUCGGGAAAAAAUCAUGGGGCAAGUCGAAUGCAUAUGUACAUUCUAGUGAUCACUAAUUAUCACUGCUUUGCUGUGGAGAUUGUCUUUCUUGAUUCCACUAUAUACGUGUACGACUCUGAUCAUACCUGUUGGACACAGGGUCAGGUCGAGCAUAUAUUAGAGCCAGUGCCUAUAAUCGUUCAUUUGAUAGACAAUUACCACAUAAUAAGCAAGCAAGGCCAAAUGUUUUAAUGUAGGGAGUUCGUCUUCACCAGACCCAAACUUCUCCUCUCGCUUUUGAUUGGGUUAAAAGUGUUUGUGGCGUCAAUUCCUUUUGGUGUACAUCUUACCCAAAAUACCAAGAAACAUAAGUUGUCAGCUCAUAUCUAUCUAUCUCCGCUCCUCAAUCAAACAAAAGUAACCGUUUGAUCCUAUAUAGCCUGGACCUACAUACUCAUCGUGGUCGUCCUACAGCCUCCCACACCCAUAUUCCUAACCUCUCCUCCUAUUUUAUUUGCUUACCAUGCGGUCUCUGUGUCGAUUGAGCCCAGUAUAGUAUUAGUUUUUUAGAUCUUAGAAAUGAAAUCAUAUCUGCCCGGAAGUGAUUUGUGUGACAAACUAGUUAUCGUGUGGGACAUGACGAUGAUGAGACGAUAGAAAUCGUAAGUAUUUAUAAAUUUUUUAAUUUGAAAACUUAGUUUUUAGUUAUUGAACUAACACGUUGUUUUUAAUUGAAUUGGCGAUUGCUGUUGUUCGUAAUUAGGUAUAUUGAACUUUUGAGUAUAAUACAUAAGGAUGAUAGAAUCAACCAAUCCUGAAAUUAGAGGAAGAACUUAGCAUGCAAUUUGUAUGAAAUCAAUAAUGGUACGUAAAUAUUAUAUAUUGUUCCAUUCGAAAAUGUAAAUAUUGAUUAUUUAA